rnacentral:lncRNA from 1 species
UGGAGCAGCGAGUCCUCUGUGCCCUUGAUCAAUCCUUUGAGUGUUUAAGCCCACGAUGUCCUUUCUUGUCAUCUCCAUGGCUUCCCUUUGAGCUCCCUCUCCACAAAAUGGCCAGUGCGGAAAAUGGAUUAAAGAGAGGCACAUUGGUGGCUGUGCUCGGAUGGACUAACUUCGGUCUUGGCCAACGCCCAGUAAAAAAUAUGGCCCCCACCCUACCCUAGAAGGGAGAAUUGACAUUCGGAUUAUAA